UACGUAGGGGGCGAGCGUUGUCCGGAUUUAUUGGGCGUAAAGAGCUCGUAGGCGGUUUGGUAAGUCGGGUGUGAAAUCUCCACGCUCAACGUGGAGGGGCCACUCGAUACUGCCAUGACUCGAGUCCGGUAGAGGAGUGUGGAAUUCCCGGUGUAGCGGUGAAAUGCGCAGAUAUCGGGAGGAACACCGAUGGCGAAGGCAGAUCUCUGGGCCGUAACUGACGCUGAGGAGCGAAAGCGUGGGGAGCGAACAGG
rnacentral:rRNA from 1 species